rnacentral:rRNA from 1 species
GACGUAGGGGCGCGAGCGUUUGUCCGGAUUUAUUGGGCGUAAAGAGCUCGUAGGCGGUUCGUCGCGUCGGCUGUGAAAAACCUGAGGCUCAACCUCAGGCCUGCAGUCGAUACGGGCGGACUAGAGUGCAGCAGAGGAUAGUGGAAUUCCCGGUGUAGUGGUGAAAUGCGUAGAUAUCGGGAGGAACACCAGUGGCGAAGGCGACUAUCUGGGCUGCAACUACGCUGAGGCGCGAAGGCUAGGGUAGCAAACAGG